UGAGAUGUCAGUGCCGAAACGUGAGUCGAACUGAGAGGCCGAGGCAGAUUUUAAGAGGGCGCUGAGAAGACCUGCCACCGGUACCAGCAAAGCAUAUGAGCAGAGCCAUUUGGGUACUUCUUUUUCAUCUGACUUGACUUUGUAAGCCGUUUGAGCCAAACUGAACAGAGAAGGAACAGAGGAAUUAGCUUGAAGGUGUUUGCGGGGGAGAACAGCCAUGAGCAGAAAUUCACUCUGCUUAAUUCUCAUCAUCACCUUUCUGAGAACAGGUGUCUCCGACAGUAAUAUAGUCAUCAGUCACAGAAUGGAAGGCGAGAGACUUAUCUUGACCUGUGUCCUGUCUGGAGAUGAGAAUCUAACCCAGGUCAACUGGGAGAUACAGUGGCCUAAUCGCACCAAUGUGGGCAUUUUUCACCCUGUUUAUGGCACCUACGUCCCCCCCGAGUAUGCUGACAGAGUGAUCAUCGAUGGCAAACAUCUUUUCUCAACUGCAUCGCUUUCUCUGGAGAAGAUGCCUUUAAAUGAAAUCAGACAAAUCUGCUGUGUGUUCAUGACGUUUCCAUCAGGCCACCUGAUGCAGUGCUCCAAGAUCAGUGACAAUGAUGGAGUCAACGCUAAUAACAGAAAGACUGAAGUCAAGGAGGCCGGCCAUGAGCUCAGCUUAUUUGGCCAGCUGGGCGCGCUGACAGUGGGGUGCAUCCUCACUCUUCUCUUGUUUGUCAUCCCAGUCUACGUUUGCCACAAAUGUUCCUGUAGGAGGAGACAAGAGUUUCGAGUCCAGCAGGCACAUUACACAGACCCAUCAACACCUUCUGAGACCUUCACAGAAAAUGCACAAGAAGUGAGACAUCCUCCACCUGCACCUGGCUUUGACCCCACAAAACUAUAUGCAAAGAUUAAAAAUGAUCUGUAUUAUGGCCGCCUGUGGAAGGCAUACCAGGGUAGAGCCCGCAUAUCAACACAAGGAGCACCACCUGACCCAAAGAAGAUUUACUAUCGUCUAGGUGAGCGCCCCCAACAACAGAGCGAUGAAAAACAGAGGCCCAUAGGCCCAGAUACAAUGGUGACAUCAUCAGACAACAACAGCUGAGCACAGAUCUCAUUCAGUAGCCACUGGAAUUUGUUUUGCACAAAAUGCCGAAACCAAAACGCAAUAUGUAAUUAAGCAAGUAAAAAGAGUGGGAUAAAUAUUAUGAGCCAGCAUACACUGACAGAACAAUAUUUGUGUAAAAUUGUGUAUAUAUAUAUACAAUUUAUAUAGAUAUAGAUAUAUAUAUAUAAAGUGUGUGUGUGUGUGUGUGUGUGUGUGUGUGUGUGUGUGUGUGUGUGUGUGUGUGUGUGCGUGUGUAGUUUUGACUUGUACGUAAAUAAACCUAUUGACUGAGUUCUAUGUAUGGUUUUGAUAUUUGUUUAAUAAAGCACACAUUUUGUAAACAUUUUCAUUCCUGGGUAGUAUCAUGUCUAACUAACUUUACUCAGGUUUAACUUCUCAUCCGAAAUUUGACACGUAUGCGUAUUUGUGGUAUAUUGCGAAAUACACGUACCCCUUUGUACCCCUUUGUACCCCUUUGGGCUACAGAUUACGAAAUGAGGAAGGAAAUAAUAAAUGUA
ensembl:lncRNA